GGCCGGCUUGGCUGAGUGGUAACGCUCGCGACUUUGAUUCGUCAGGUCGUGAGUUCCAGGCCCGCCGCGGUCU